CAAGGGAAAAGCUUGGAAACAUGCAGCAGCCACCACUUCAGCAGUGCCCAGAAAUCAACCAUUAAGAAAUUAAAAGGUGAUGGAAGAAAGAUACAAUAAUCAAUCAAAUACUUUCCCAGGCAGGAGUGACUGACUCUAAGGGAAACUGAGGAAAUGGAAGCAACUGCCUUCCUAGAUUAAAGAUUCUCUAUGAAAACACUCAGUGCCACCACCCAGCUAAUGCAAAAACCCAAGGGGAGAAGACGUACUGGGGAAGCUUCCAGUGACAGUGCUUCUGUAUCCUGUACCUCAUCUUCUAUGGCGUUUCAGCUACCAAAGAGAAAAGUACAUAGAUGACUGCACAGCUGCUAAGAGCACAGCAAGGGUGACCUUUCUGCUUUCUCAUCUUAAAGAACCGGUUCAACCAGAGCAAAAUCCUCAUGUCCUGCCUCAUUACGUAUUUACUUGCAUACUGUAAUCAAAUGUAACAACCUGAUGUCUGAGGUAUCUCAAGUGUAUAGCACAUACAGAUUCUUGGAGCUAGAAACACUUCUACAGGGUCUGGCAAGAUGGCCUUUGACAAACCAGCUGUGUGUAGAGCAAAUGAUGCGAGUCACUGGAGUAGUCAUUGAAUAAUGCUGAAGCAGCCACAAAAUUGGUGCACGUGAUUUAAGAUAACCUUGGCUUCCCAGUCAAACUCCUGGAGUGCUUCAGUCUGGAGAUCUGAUUAAAAGAGACUAGGCUGGUAGUGCUCAAGAAAAUUACAGCAAAAUAAAUGAGAUAGCAAACCAGGGCAGGAAGUACUAUUGAUUUUUACUUUUUAAAUAGCUUAAUAAGGAUUUUCCUUCAGAGUUUAGCCCUACAUUUGCUAUCAGCUGAGAAUUUGGUGUAAUCAUUUAAAAUUCUUUCUCAGUGGCUUAGGAAUUUCUAUUUCCAAAAAAACUGAAUAUUUGGGGGCUGAAGUGAUAUUUAAGGGUCCCAGUAGUUUUUGGAUGUGUCUAGAUGAGACCUCCUUAGGAAUUAGCAGAAACAAGAAUGUGUUCAAUGCGCUUCUCAGUUAAAAAUAUAACUUACAAGGCUUUUAGGAGCAGUGCUCAGCAUUUUUGAGAAAUCUAGCUUUGAGGGAAUGCUAGAAUUGGUCAUCCAAACCCUCUUAUUCCUGAGCAUUUGGGGUAUUGACAGGUGAGGCAAAUCCUCUAGGACCUAAGGGCCACGGUAGUACAGUCCAUACCCCUGUGAAAGAGCUGGUAGAUUAUUCAAAUCGCAAGCUGUGGGGACUUGCUGUGUGGAGUCUGGUCUCUACUACUGUUCCAGCUGCAGCAAAGCCCUGAAGUCUGAACAGAGACCUGUCUGCAAAAUUCACUUAUAGGUUGUAUAAACUGGGAGUGUUCAGGAGGCGAAAGGAAUGGAUGUAGCAGAAUUGCACUCCCUUGCCAUGAGGAAGGAAAGAGAUUAUUAAAAAUGGUUUUUCUUUGUUUCACAUAACUACAAUAGAAAUGUUCAGGCUGCAGAACCAUAAAAAGAAAUUCAUUUCAUGGACUAUGCAGGGAAUUAUGAUGAAAUUUCUAGCUUAUGGCCUUUGACAGAUGGAAGGGGUAAUAGAAAUGCAACUAUUUUCAAUCAAAGAAGCAAUUAAAUGAGUUUUUGAAUGAUAAACCUUGUCACACAAGCUAUCUACUUGUUUUGCAAAGGAAGCAGUUUCUGACUGAGCAGGAGGGGGAGCUGGGGAGGUCAGUGGAGCAAACUUCAGAGAAGGCAGCAAUUAGGGGCGAACAACCUCAAUUUAGUGUAGCAAAAUUAUUGUUCUUCCUCAAAAGUGAUCAAUAUCUAUGUAAAGAUGCAGGACACUAGUAUGUAGUGCUGUCCCAGCUUAACUAAACUUCUGGGUAGUGCUGCAAGCAUAAAAAUCACAUGCUUGACUGCUUUAGCUAUAGCAGAACAAACCCACGUGCUACCUUGCUGCUACUCAACAAGCAGGGUACAAACUGAAAUGAGCUGUUUGCAGUAGGAAAAAAACAGUGGAGUUACUGUCUGGAGUGGGAGGUUGAAUGCUGGUGUGCAAGAAACAGAAGAGAAAGUACAGGGUGUUUUUCACAAAUCACUUCAAGACUUUCAAUAUCAGAUUUUCCUAUAACCAGACAUUAGCUGCCACUAGAUUGAUCUGUCUGAUGCAGGGGAAAUAAAAGCCCUUGAAAGGAACAGUGAGGAGCCGAAAAAAAUUAUAUACAGUGAUGGAGGCAAAUGGUGCCUCUGGGAGUUAGCUCUCAAAAGAAAUGCCAAAAAUGAUAGUUCUAAAUACAGGAGUUUUUCCUGCCUCAGCAACAAGAGAUUAACAACGAAGGCUGUCAGAUAAACAGGUGAAAAACAAAAAAAUGGUGCCGAACAAGUAACAUUAGUGAAGGAUUCAUUUUUGUACCCCUGUGAAGUCAGAAGUAAUUUUGCAAUUGUUUUCCAGUGGAUGCCAACUCAGACACUAAUAUUCUGCUUCUUGAAGAGUUAUCACCAAAGCUAUGCAUGGGCUGGACCACUAUUACCCUGAGUGUCUUUGCAGAGAGCACAGCAAUGUGAUAAAUGUGUUAUGGGUGACUCAGGCCCGAUAAAUCUUCAGACCCAGGACACAAUUUACAGGAAGGAAAAAUAAA